rnacentral:lncRNA from 1 species
GAAAUCUAGGCUCUAGAGAAGAGAGAAGAGCGAGAGAAGGAAAAGGAGAAGAGGACACCAGGCCACGCAGCCACCCAGCUACCCAGCCACACAGCCAGCAGUGGAGUAAGAAGGAAAUAAAUACAGAAUAAAGAAUAGUAGAAAACCCAGAGGCAAAAUGUAGUUGAAGAGAAAUGGGAUAAUUUAAGUUAUAAAAGCUGGCUAGAAACAAGCCAAGCUAAGGCCAUGCAUUCAUAAGCAAGAAUAAGUCUUCAUUGUUUUUAUUUGGGAGCUGGGAGGCAGGUCCCCAAAGAGUUGGAAAAAAAAAAAAAGCAAACAACUAGAUCACUGGGGAGAAACACAGAGUAACUUUGGUCCCCUUCAUGGGAGUGAUAAUUUAUUUCAUCUUUUAAGAAUUACCCUUUUCCUUAGUUAUCUAUUACAGGCCCUAUCACUGGAUGCUUUUUUCCUUUGGGAAUUAGGGUUACAUCAUGUGAAUCGGGGAAGGUUUUCAUAUUCAGGAGAUAGAACUGGGUGAUCUAAGACAGUCUUCUCCUCUACCAUAGGACAGAUAAAAUUAAAAUCAAACCUCUCUUACAAAGAAGAGGAGCCCAGAAGGCUGGAAAUUCCAGAUGAAAAAAAAGAAGGCACCAGAUACUUGGAAUGGGACAGAGCUGCCUGGGAGAGAAGUAAAAGGGUGAGGAGGCCCAAGAGACCAGACUGCAGGGAACCUUGGGAGAAAACCAUCAGGAAUGCCUCAUUUACUUUCAAGAGAAAUGUAUGUAUCACUGUAGUUGUGAUCAAUCACAUACAUUUUGGUAAAUUUUGUUUCUGAGUUCAUCUGUAUGCUUAUUUUAUGGAUUUUCAUUUGCUGUAUCCUGGAGUUUACAAUCCUAAGGACAUAUUUUGGCUAAAAAUAUUACUAGGGUGAUCUGUACUAUUAUUCUCUAAGCUGUCCCUAUGUUUGAACAGCUGAUACCAGACUUUUGUUUAUCUUCUGAUUUUGGUUCUGUUUUUCUUUCUGGAAUAGGGGCGUAGUGUGUAUUUUAGGUUUCCCUGAAAGUUGUGCUGUUCCUGCUUCAUUUUCUAAUUACUCACAUUAUCAUCUAGUGCUACUAAAACCUAGCU